rnacentral:lncRNA from 1 species
UGAUUUUUGAGCAAUGUGGCAUGUUUGAGUAUGCUUGAAGUGUUGUAGUUGGGGUAAUUGAUGUUUUGAGGCCCCUAGGAUCUUGUAUGCAUGUUUUGGUUGAGUGGUAUGCAUGAUUGGUGAGUUUGGAGGCGAAAAUGCACAAAGGAGCCAAGUUUCUGCCCUUUGGCAGAAACCAGGUUCGGCAGCCGAAGGCACUUUCGGCCGCCGAACAUGGCUAGGGAGGCAGGCCUUUCGG